CUGAUUAGCUAGUUGGUGAGGUAAUGGCUCACCAAGGCGACGAUCAGUAGCUGGUCUGAGAGGAUGAUCAGCCACAUUGGGACUGAGACACGGCCCAAACUCCUACGGGAGGCAGCAGUGGGGAAUCUUGCGCAAUGGGCGAAAGCCUGACGCAGCCAUGCCGCGUGAAUGAUGAAGGUCUUAGGAUUGUAAAAUUCUUUCACCGGGGACGAUAAUGACGGUACCCGGAGAAGAAGCCCCGGCUAACUUCGUGCCAGCAGCCGCGGUAAUACGAAGGGGGCUAGCGUUGCUCGGAAUUACUGGGCGUAAAGGGAGCGUAGGCGGACAUUUAAGUCAGGGGUGAAAUCCCGGGGCUCAACCUCGGAAUUGCCUUUGAUACUGGGUGUCUUGAGUAUGAGAGAGGUGUGUGGAACUCCGAGUGUAGAGGUGAAAUUCGUAGAU
rnacentral:rRNA from 1 species